rfam:Schistosoma haematobium scaffold651_9, whole genome shotgun sequence.
GCUGAGGAGUCCCACAAUAGGACGAAACAGCCGUCC